GACGAACGCUGGCGGCGUGCUUAAUACAUGCAAGUCGAGCGAACGGACGAGAAGCUUGCUUGUUUGACGUUAGCGGCGGACGGGUGUGUAACACGUGGAUAAUCCACUUAUAAGUCUGGGAUAAUCACGGAAAACCGGCGCUAACACCGUAUAAGAUUCUGAACCGCAUGGUUCAAUAGAGAAAGACGGUGUUGCGGUCACUACUAGAUGGAUCUGCGCUGCAUUAGCUAGUAGUUAAGUUAACGGGUUACCAAGGCAACGAUGCAUAAACGACGUGUGAGGCGGAUCGGCCACACUAGAGGUGAGACACGGACCAGGCUCCUACGAGAGGCAGCAGUAGGGAAUCUUCCGCAGUAGGCGAGAGCCUGACGGAGCAGCGCGGCGUGAGUGAUGAAGGUCUUCGGAUCGUGAAACUCUGUUAUUGGGGAAAAACAUAUGUGUAAGUAACUGUGCACAUCUUGACGGUAACUAGUCAGAAAGCCACGGCUAACUACGUG
rnacentral:rRNA from 1 species